UUGUGGGUUGCGGGAGAGACUCCGCGGGGCGUUUGAUUUUACCCAGUGGGGCGCCGAAGGUGCAACCCCGGUGAUCAAGUGGGGGAAACUCUCAGGCAAAAGGACCGCAAUCCCUUG
rnacentral:ncRNA from 2 species